CGUAGAAGACUAGUGUUAUUCAUCUUUAGUAGGUUUAAAGGGUACCUAGACGGUAUAAUUAGUCUUUAAUAGGAAACGGUUAUACUAGAGUUAUAUAUGAGGAGGUGAGUAUUUGUGGAGUAGAGUUGAAAUUCUUUGAUACCAUGACGACUGGUAAAGGCGAAAGCAACCUUUUAUCUAAUAACUGACGUUGAGGGACGAAGGCUCGGGUCGCGAACAGGAUU
rnacentral:rRNA from 1 species